UUUGCCUACGGGAGGCAGCAGUGAGGAAUAUUGGUCAAUGGGCGAGAGCCUGAACCAGCCAAGUCGCGUGAAGGAUGACGGCCCUACGGGUUGUAAACUUCUUUUGUCAGGGAGCAAUUGGGUCCACGUGUGGGCUUAGCGAGAGUACCUGAAGAAAAAGCAUCGGCUAACUCCGUGCCAGCAGCCGCGGUAAUACGGAGGAUGCGAGCGUUAUCCGGAUUUAUUGGGUUUAAAGGGUGCGUAGGCGGGACGGUAAGUCAGCGGUAAAAAUGCGGAGCUCAACUCCGUCGAGCCGUUGAAACUGC
rnacentral:rRNA from 1 species